rnacentral:tRNA from 1 species
GGGUCGUUAGCUCAGUCGGUAGAGCAUCUGACUUUUAAUCAGGUGGUCGCAGGUUCGAUUCCUGCACGACCCA